rnacentral:rRNA from 1 species
GCUCAGAUUGAACGCUGGCGGCAGGCCUAACACAUGCAAGUCGAGCGGCAGCACGGGUACUUGUACCUGGUGGCGAGCGGCGGACGGGUGAGUAAUGCCUAGGAAUCUGCCUGGUAGUGGGGGAUAACGUCCGGAAACGGGCGCUAAUACCGCAUACGUCCUACGGGAGAAAGUGGGGGAUCUUCGGACCUCACGCUAUCAGAUGAGCCUAGGUCGGAUUAGCUAGUUGGUGAGGUAAUGGCUCACCAAGGCGACGAUCCGUAACUGGUCUGAGAGGAUGAUCAGUCACACUGGAACUGAGACACGGUCCAGACUCCUACGGGAGGCAGCAGUGGGGAAUAUUGGACAAUGGGCGAAAGCCUGAUCCAGCCAUGCCGCGUGUGUGAAGAAGGUCUUCGGAUUGUAAAGCACUUUAAGUUGGGAGGAAGGGUACUUACCUAAUACGUGAGUAUUUUGACGUUACCGACAGAAUAAGCACCGGCUAACUCUGUGCCAGCAGCCGCGGUAAUACAGAGGGUGCAAGCGUUAAUCGGAAUUACUGGGCGUAAAGCGCGCGUAGGUGGUUUGUUAAGUUGGAUGUGAAAGCCCCGGGCUCAACCUGGGAACUGCAUCCAAAACUGGCAAGCUAGAGUAUGGUAGAGGGUGGUGGAAUUUCCUGUGUAGCGGUGAAAUGCGUAGAUAUAGGAAGGAACACCAGUGGCGAAGGCGACCACCUGGACUGAUACUGACACUGAGGUGCGAAAGCGUGGGGAGCAAACAGGAUUAGAUACCCUGGUAGUCCACGCCGUAAACGAUGUCAACUAGCCGUUGGGAGCCUUGAGCUCUUAGUGGCGCAGCUAACGCAUUAAG